rnacentral:rRNA from 1 species
CCGCCACGGUAAUACCAGCCCUGCGAGUGGUCGGGACGGUUAUUGGGCCUAAAGCGCCCGUAGCCGGCCCGGCAAGUCCCUCCUUAAAGCCCCGGGCCCAACCCGGGGACGGGGGGAUACUGCCGGGCUAGGGGGCGGGAGAGGCCGGCGGUACUCCCGGGGUAGGGGCGAAAUCCGUUAAUCCCGGGAGGACCACCAGUGGCGAAGGC